rnacentral:rRNA from 1 species
GAUGAACGCUGGCGGCGUGCCUAAUACAUGCAAGUCGAGCGAACGGACGAGAAGCUUGCUGCGCUGAUGUUAGCGGCGGACGGGUGAGUAACACGUGGAUAACCUACCUAUAAGACUGGGAUAACUUCGGGAAACCGUAGCUAAUACCGGAUAAUAUUUUGAACCGCAGGGUUCAAAAGUGAAAGACGGUCUUGAUGUCACUGAUAGAUGGAUCCGCGCUGCAUUAGCUAGUUGGUAAGGUAACGGCUUACCAAGGCAACGAUGCGUAGCCGACCGGAGAGGGGGGUCGGCCACACUGGAACUGAGACACGGUCCAGACUCCUACGGGAGGCAGCAGUCGGGAAUCGUCCGCAAUGGGCGAAAGCCUGACGGAGCGACGCCGCGUGAGUGAUGAAGGUCUUCCGAUCGUAAAACUCUCUUAUUAGGUAAGAACAUCUGUGUACGUAACUGUGCACAUCUUGACGGUACCUAAUCAGAAAGCCACGGCUAACUACGUG